ACGGGAGGCAGCAGUGGGGUAUAUUGCACAAUGGGGGAAACCCUGAUGCAGCGACGCCGCGUGAGCGAUGAAGGAUUUCGGUAUGUAAAGCUCUAUCAGCAGGGAAGAAAAUGACGGUACCUGACUAAGAAGCACCGGCUAAAUACGUGCCAGCAGCCGCGGUAAUACGUAUGGUGCAAGCGUUAUCCGGAUUUACUGGGUGUAAAGGGAGCGUAGACGGCAUGGCAAGCCAGAUGUGAAAUGCGGGGGCUUAACUCCUGAACUGCAUUUGGAACUGUCAAGCUAGAGUAUCGGAGAGGUAAGUGGAAUUCCUAGUGUAGCGGUGAAAUGCGUAGAUAUUAGGAGGAACACCAGUGGCGAAGGCGGCUUGCUGGACGAUAACUGACGUUGAGGCUCGAAAGCGUGGGGAGCAAACAGGAUUAGAUACCCUGGUA
rnacentral:rRNA from 1 species